rnacentral:misc_RNA from 1 species
CUGGAAUGCAUUCUCUAUGUCCUGCUGUAUGGUCAAAGCAUAGAAGGUGGCUGUUAAUGUCAAUGCUGUGUCUCAAUCCAUUAGCUUGUUCGUUCGUAGAUUUGCAGUUUCCAAAUGGUCAGUUUACCUAUGUGUCAGGUGAGGGGCUGACUACAAGUGCUUUUCUACCCCUUUUUGGGGGCCUUCUCCAAGCUCAGGGUCAAUAUCCAGGAGAAAUGAGAUUUAGCUUUUCUCAUAAGAACAAGUGGGGUACACGCAUCACGCCAAUGGUACAAUGGCCUGACAAAUCAUUUACAUUAGGUUUUGCUCAAGCCUUAGCAUGGCAAAGAUCAGGCCUAAUGGUGAGGCCUACAGUUCAGUUCAGUUUGUGCCCAACUUUUGGCGGAAACAAUCCUGGGGUGCAGGCAGAACUUAUUCAUUCAGUGAAUGAGCAACUAAAUCUGAUAUGUGGCUGUGCAUUCUUGACAUACCCUUCAGUAUUUGCAUCACUGUCUAUUGGGCGGUCUAAAUGGAAUGGUAAUGUGGGGAGCACAGGAAUCGUUGUGAGAGUUGAUAGCCCACUUUCUGAUGUUAGUCAACCAUCAGUUUCUGUUCAGAUAAAUGGCGGCAUUGAAUUUUGAAUGUCUGGCUCUGCAAUCACAUAUCUUGCAUUAGAGAUGUAAAUAGACACGAGCAUCUGAACCUGCAAUACCACUUGUAUAUUUUGAGAUUUCUAUUUAAUUAUACGAGUCACUGCCG